CUGGCUCCAUCUCAGGCUUUGCUCUCUAGUGAAUUGUCCUUCUUACUCUUCCUGGAGCAAAGGCCUGCAACGAGUCAUUUGCAUGGAUGCUUCCAAAGAAAUCACACCAAAAUGCCUAUCAACUCCCUCCCACCUCCCCGGGCGCCCUGUGAUCUUAUUUCGAGCAUUUUACAACGUACAUGUGCAGAGUUGGGCUUUAUUACAGACCAGUGAUACCAGGUACCAAAAUCUGAAAACUACACUGGGUUUAGUUCUGGAGACCCUGGUGAUCCCUUCCUUCCAAUCAAUUGAUCUUCCUUCUGUGGAAGAAUUGAAUAGAGAACUUUCCAUGAAGGUGAAACGUCAUCCUUUGAUCUCCAAUCCAUCCACUAUGCACCUGGACUGGACUAGCCUCAGGACACCAAGAUGGGACCUGAUUCCAGCAUUCAAGCAACUCCAUGUCUGUACAUACAAAACAUGAUUAAAAGGCAAUCAAAUAAAGACCACCGCCCCUUCUUCC
rnacentral:lncRNA from 1 species